AGGGUCAUAGCUCAGGGGUAGAGCACGUGCUUAGCAUGCACGAGGUUCUAGGUUCAAUCCCCAGUAUCUCCA
rnacentral:tRNA from 1 species